UACGUAGGGUGCGAGCGUUUGCCGGAAUUAUUGGGCGUAAAGAGCUCGUAGGCGGUUUGUUGCGUCGGCCGUGAAAAACCUGCAGCUUAACUGUGGGCCUGCGGCCGAUACGGGCAGACUUGAGUUCGGUAGGGGAGACUGGAAUUCCUGGUGUAGCGGUGAAAUGCGCAGAUAUCAGGAGGAACACCGGUGGCGAAGGCGGGUCUCUGGGCCGAUACUGACGCUGAGGAGCGAAAGCGUGGGGAGCGAACAGG
rnacentral:rRNA from 1 species